CAUAUCUUCUUUGACAGAUAGUAGUUGCGCAAGAAGAAGAGGAAACAUGUUUACAUGUUCAGUUCGUUGUGGAAUUUAGCACGGUUUUGUGUGUUUGUACAAGUCCCGGAAAAAAGUACGUCGAAUAAAAAUGGUACCCCCUAGAACAUCAAACAUCAUUGCCAGAAAACACCAAACAGCAUUACCUAUCGUGCUACAAAUUCGUAACGCUGAUAAUCUUACGAUAUCAAAAGAUACAUAUUAUCACCGAGAGGAAAUUAAUGUUGCAAUCCCCACAGAUAACUACGAAGCGCACCUUCAUCCUGUACAGGAGCUGAAUCACGGACUGUGGGAGGUGCCGCAGCUUGCACCGUCUGAGAAAAUGAGGAAAAAUGUUAACAAUAAUGAAAUAAAAUGUAAAAGAUAUUCAUUGUCAUUUGAUUAUUUAUAUUUAAGAUAGAAAAAUGACUUAAGGGUACGAGAAUGGGAGGGGGUUUGCUUUAGUUGAAAUAAAAAUAUUUUGCUCUAUUUGUUACAUUAUAAA